AGGGUUAGUGUGGGGGUUAGGAUUAGGGGUAAGGUGUGGGGUAAGGUUAGUAUUAGGGUUAGUGUGGGGGUUAGGAUUAGGGGUAAGGUUAGUAUAAGGGUUAGUGUGGGGGUUAGAAUUAGGGGUAAGGUUGGUAUUAGGGUUAGUGUGGGGUUAGGAUUAGGGGUAAGGUGUGGGUAAGGUUAGUAUAAGGGUUAGUGUGGGGGUUAGGAUUAGGGUAAGGUUAGUAUUAGGGUUAGUGUGGGG
rnacentral:lncRNA from 1 species